CCAUUCUUUCUCCCCCAGUUUUCAACUUCUCUCCACCGCCAGCAAACCACCACUCGGCGAUGGCGAACGCUCAGCCACAUGCGGCCCCGCUUUUCCUUGCGCAGAGUAGACGAAAAAAGGAGAAAAAAAAUUAGUUUUUCUGGAGAAAUAAUAGUUUUCGUGUAGUGGCGAAUCCGAAAAAUCUAACCAUCGGAUCGGUCUGAAUUUUGAAAAUAGUGUUCAAAACACAUCACUAAUUUCUGGCCAGUGGAGAUCAAAAUCGGAACUCUCUAACUAUUGAUCGAAUCAUAAAACAUUUGUUGCUAUUUUCUGUUACUGGAGAUUCUAGGCAGCUUGAUUGGACGCAUUGUUUGGGCAAUCAAACCAUUGGAUGUGGUGAUAUUUUGGUAGAAUAUUUCAGGCAUAUAGUUCUAUAUUUUGUAUGGAGGAGAUCAAAUUUGGUGGCUUCUAAUUCUGGAUAUUAAUUGUGUAAGUAGUCAUGUUUGUACUUUAUAUGCCUCAUACUCAAAUUCAAUUCAAUGUUUCAACCUACACUCCGUGAAGUAAUAACGACAAAAUAAUAUUUGCC
rnacentral:lncRNA from 1 species